UAAUGAUAACGUUGCAGACAUCUUUACAAAGUCUCUUUCCAAAGGACCAUUCGAGGAUCUCCUUGGCGAGCUUGGACUUGUCUCCAAAAGUUCAUUUUAAGGGGGAGUGUUAAAAUUAAAGUGUAACUUUUGAAAAAUUAUAGAAUAAUGUAGAAUAUUAUAGAAGUUAGGAGAGAUAUUUCUAGAUUAGUGUAGGUGAUAAAAAUAUCUAGAUAUUUUGUAUGAAAAGUGUGGAGUAUUCUAGAAGAUGAAUCUCCACCGUAGGAUUAAAUAGAUCAUGACCGUCCAUUGAGGAGGUGGAAAGUCUAUAUAUACCCACCCCUUCCUCCACAUUUGUAUCAUCCAAAAAAAUCCAAGUCUUCUUGAGUUAAUAAAGUAUUCUCCAAGUUAUUCAAGUAAGUCUN
rnacentral:lncRNA from 1 species